UAGUCUUAACGAUGGAUGUCUUGGUUCUUACAGCGAUGAAGGCCGCAGCAAAAUGCGAUAAGCAAUGAAAAUUGCAGUUACUUUGAAUCAUCAGAAUGCUGAAUGUAAACUACACCAAAUUGUUCUACAAUUAUUUGGUACUCCUUCAUAGCAUGA